UUGAUUCCAUGAAUUGUACUGAUUCUGCAGAAUGAAGGUUGAAAUUGAAGGCAGCCACAGUGAUUAUGCUGAAUCUGUUUCCAGACAACCAGAAAAUAGAGGAAGAUUGGAAUCCAAGAAGAAACUGAAGAAAGUGAGGUCAAUAAGGCUUGUAAGAUUGCCAAGCAAGAGAUCAUCCACCAGAGGAGGGAGACACCGCCAUGAUUAUCUCUUCAUUGACACAGAAAGUUUAGAGGGGCCAACACCAAUUGAAAUGGUAGAUGCAUCACCAAAUUACAUGAAGGCUACCAGCAGUUCUCAUGCAAAAGAUAGUAUUCAGGUAAGUUUGCUGAUUUUGAAAAAAAUGAUUUGAAUGGUUUCAAUUGUUUGGUGAAUAGUAAGAAUAAGAAUAAUACAAUGCUGCUUUUGGUCAGAAUACACAAAGAAUACUAUUCACAAAGAAGACUUUGACAAGAAUGUCUACUACUUUGAAACUGAAGAGAAGUCUGACCAGAAAGUUAUCUGGAAGGACUGAACCAAAGAGGGAACUGAAGUCCUCAAGAUCAAUCAAGUUUGCAGCUGUCAAGGGCCAAAAAUCAACAAGAAAGUUUUAUGAAUCUAAUUAUGGAAGUGAUGACCAGAAUUGGAAAAGUGCAAGUGAUGCUGGUAACAAACUCCAGAGAGUCAUAACCAGAAGAUUAAGCUUGAAGCCCGUGAGGAUCUUAGCAAAGAUGCCUACUUUCAAAUCAAAGAAUUCUUCCAUGGAGAGAGGCAAUCAGAUAUCUCAAUCCCCAUACACAAGCUUGCUUAGAGCCACUUGUACUUCUGCUCUCAAGGAUUCCCAUUUUCCUGAGAAAAUUGACCUCCCUCAAGAGGGAAGUGACUCUCAAGGAGUAUCAGCUGUGAAGGUUUGUCCAUAUUCUUACUGCUCACUUCACGGUCAACGCCACACCAAUCUGCCUCCACUGAAGCGCUUUGUGUCAAUGAGGAGGCGCACGUUGAAGAGCCAAAAGCCAACAAAAAUGGAUUGUCAACCUGACACUAGAUCAAAGCAGAUUGGUAAUGCAAAGAAAGCCGCUCAGAAAACUCAAACUGUCCACAAAGAAGAUGGAAGAUCUCAUUUUCAGAACAAGAAAAAGCUGGCUAGGGGCUUAUGGAUUAGGCCUCAUGGCACUCCAGCAUCCACAGUUUCUGAAGGUGUGGAAUCAACAUCAACAGAUAGAGUCGAGUUUUCUGCUCCUGAUACUGAGAUAUUGGAGAGAGAAGUAACUAACACUGGCAACACAAGCAAAAAUAUGAAGCUGGAUUGUGAAGUACUGAAGAUGAGUUCUUUACAGAAAGAGUCUACACAUGCUAGCACUACUGAUAUGGCAAGGGGAAUGCAGGAAAGAGAUAAAAAAUUUGUCAAAAUGUGGCAGUUGAUGUAUAAGCAUGCUGUAUUGAGUAACACAGGUGAAAAUAAGCAGCAAUUUGAUGGGAAGGACAAGGAAGGAAGAGAGCAAGAUUUCUUUGCAACUAAUGAAGUGAACAACUCUUGUCGUGAUGAUUGUGAUACAGAUCAGGAUAUGGAUGAGGAAAAUAAGGAUGCAAUUGAGCUGGUGCAGAAAGCAUUUGAUGAAAUCCUUCUUCCAGAGCCUGAAGACCUCUUUUCUGAUGAUCAAUUCAAAUCUGAAGGCAUUGAUUCAGAUGUGGUACACUUAGAAAAGAGUGAAGUUGAGAGAAAAAGGAAUACUUCAACAUCCACAGAAUCUCCAACAGCACAGAGGAUGGGGACCAAACCUGACCAAAGAGCACCAAGAAGCUGGAGCAAUCUGAAGAAGUUAAUCCUCUUGAAAAGGUUUGUGAAUGCAUUAGAGAAGGUAAGAAACAUCAACCCCAAAAGACCAAGACGUUUUCCUUCUGAUGCUAACUUAGAAAUAGAAAAAGUUUUUCUCAAGCACCAAACAGCGGAAGAGAAGAAGAAUGCUGAGGAAUGGAUGCUUGACUAUGCACUUCAAAAGGUUGUUUCUAAACUUGCACCUGCUCAAAGACAAAAAGUGACACUUCUAGUAAAAGCUUUUGAAACAAUUCUGCCAUUUCAAGUUGCUGAAAAUAGUCCACGGUUUUCUCCAACAAUGGAACCUCAAGCAAAUCCAGUUCAACCCCUUGACAAUUCCUCAAAUCACAGCGAGGAAGAAACAUCAUUUUCUCAUGAUAGCAGUAUGGAACUGACAGAAAAUACUAGUGAUGAUCCAAUGCCAGAACUGCACAAUCCUACUACGCUCAAAGAAAGAUGUCUUGAGUCUCUUGAUUUUCCUGGAACCGAGACAGUCAAGAAUAUGCCUGCCUUUGGAGCUACUGAAGAAGACUUGAGUGGAAAGCAAAGUUUAGCUGGCAGUUAUGAUAAUGAGGAGAAGAUAUCAAGUGACAGUGAUAAUAUUUAUCUUGUAGAGAUCAAAGAUACUACCUCAAGUUCCUUAAAUGAGCCAGUUGAAAUUAUAAGAAGCAGUCAUGAGGAGGCUCCAACCAAUGAAACAGUCAAUGAUGUUCCAGAAGAUUUGCUAUCCAGUGUGAAUACAGAAAAUCCAGAUAUCAAAUCUGAGUCACCUGGAAGAGAUGUUGAAACCAAGAAUCUGAAUGGUGAUAAUGGGGAAAAAAUUUCCAUGUCCAAAAGUUUAGUCCUAGAAGGUUUAGUUAGAUCACUCAGAUCUAAUUUGAUUGGUUCAGGAGCACCUGUAAACGAACCAACUGCCAACAACAGAAAAGAAGGAAUUGAAAAUGUUAAACAGGAAACUGAGACUCUUGAAGAGUUCCCUACAAAGGAACAAUCUGAAGCUCAUAUUAGUGCUGUUGUAGAACCUGAGACCCCUGUAGAGAAACAGAAUAACACAGGAUUGUGGUACUUGGUGUAUAAGCACAUGGUAUCAAAUAUGGAUGAAAACAAUUCCGAGUCACUAAUUGAUGGGGCAGAUGAAAAAGAGUCAGGGUUUGAUGGGAGCAGAACAAGAGGAGCUUCCUUCUCUCAUGAAAGUACACCCGUGACUGAUGAAGAGAUGAAAUUUAAGGACCAUGUCGUAGCUGAUCCAGAAGUUGCACGCCAACAGAAUGAAGCCAUCAAGAUGGUAGAAGAAGCAAUUGAUUCAAUUCUUCCAGAUGAUCAGGAUGACUUAUCAGACAAGGAAUCACUCACUGACAGCACAAUUUCAGACAACUCCAAACAAUCCAACAGAACUGAAAGAGUAUACAGUGAAGGCCUGAACCAAAAAGAAGAACAGAUGGAAUCCGGGAACGGAAUGAUCCAAAAACAAGAAGAAUCAGCACCAAAGGAGCAAAACAAAACAAACCAGAAAAUGUCUACAAGCUGGAGCAAUCUUAAAAAAGUGAUCCUGCUUAGGAGAUUCAUCAAGUCAUUGGAAAAAGUAAGGAAAUUCAACCCAAGAGGGCCUAGAUAUCUACCUCUAGAGCCUGAUUCAGAAGCUGAAAAAGUUAACUUAAGGCAUCAAGACAUGGAAGAACGAAAAGGUACGGAAGAAUGGAUGCUUGAUUAUGCACUUCGACAGGUUGUUUCCAAAUUAACCCCUGCUAGGAAAAGAAAAGUGGAGCUGCUGGUGGAAGCUUUUGAAACAGUCAUGCCAACUAUAAAAACUUGAAACUGGGCAAACUGGCAAAGAGUGGAAUAGCUUUGUAUGCAAAAAAAAUUCAAGCUGAAAGGUAUAAAAUUACCCUCAAGUAGUUUUUUUUUUUAAUUUACCCUUCCUCUUUUUUUCUUCUCUGAAGUAUUGCAAAGUGAUGUGCAAUUGUUAACAACAGUCAACAGAAAACUUGUCAAACUAUGUGAAAACUGAAUAUUCAAAAAUGUCAAGGGAAACCAUAUCCAUUAAAAAUAUCAAGUAGCCACUCCUAUACUCCUGUCAUAUGAUCAAUUUUAACCAGAUAACAGAAGAGGAAGAAUUCUAUAUGCAUCAUUUAUAAGAACAUCCACGCAUCUAAAGUAAUAGCUCAAGUUGUAUUUAUGUAAUUAUACUACUAUCUCGAGAAAUCUGAUUCACUGUCUCCUCUACAUGUGCAGGUCAACAAGGAGAUGUAUAUGAUCAUAAUCAUUUGGGAUGUCAGCAGUUUUUUGUUUUGUGGAAACUGUGUCUGGUGUCAUAUAUUUUUUAUAGUCUCUUAGGAGGAAACUUAGAGUAUAGAAUGUUUCAUGAUUCAGCAACAACAAAAUUCAAUAUAGGGAUAUUUCCCCCUUUUUUUAACCUUUCAUAUCUCUCUUGGUGUUCUCAGGUGGAUGUUUUGUAUGAAAGAUUUGCAUUACAAAUACCAUAGACAAUCUUUAAAUGUCAUGAUGUAUGUCUUUUGUGUGGAACAUAAUAGAAUGGCCUAAUCCGUAUUGCAUAUUUAUACUCUUCUCUUUUUGCAGUAAAGAUUUCUUAUCCUGUUUUUGAACAUCCAAAGAUAAACACAAAGUGAAAAGUCAUGACUACCUAAUUUCAUCGCUUGUUUUGAGUAGAACACUGAAUUUAUAAGCCAUUAUAGAUGUGCAACAUAUACAAUGCCUGCUUUUACUUUUAAAAAUAGUUGUGUUUUUAUUUUUACUAAGAAACGAUUAUUAGUCAUAAUUUAAGCUUGAUCCUAUCGACACAAAACAUACAUGACUUGAAUAAUGACUGGAAAUAAUGAAACUAAAACCUGUUUUGGGGUGAUAAUGAAACUGAAUAAUGGGCAUUUGCACACAAAGGUAAUAAUAAAAAAGAGUAAGAAGUUGUUAACCUUGAUCCACUGUGGGGAAGGGCCAACACUCACUUGUAACAGCCAUUUCUCUGUCUUCAACAAAAUGUGUUGACUAGUGACUUCAAACUUCAAAGUCCAAACCUUUAUGCUAUGUUCAUAUUCGAGGUUGGACCAUAG
rnacentral:lncRNA from 1 species